AAAAGAAAUUAUAUGUCUUGCAUCCAAAAAUAAUUUCAAUUUACAGGUAUUGACAAUACUUAAGACAGCACUAGUUUUGGUCAUGGCAGUAUAGCAUCUGGCAUGUGGCAUCAGCCUUACAAAGUCAGCUAUUGUAUGAAACAGUAACCUUAGUUCUUAUUUGUGAUUUUUGCCUGUUUUCGCACUCAUCUGCAAAAGCAAAUCAGGGGAAAACCCUGUUUCUAAACUUCUCUUUGAAAGUGUAAGGUGACAAAUACAUAGUUCCUUACAUGGCUUUCAUUAACACAGAAUCUUUCAGUGCGUUUUCUAAGGCAGCAAGGGCUAUGAAAUAAUUCUGCCCAUGUGUCUGUGUAUCUCUGUUUCAUAAGAACAAAGUUUCACUCUACUGUCCAAUAUUGAUAACAUUUUUUCAGAUGAACAGACCUUUUGUUAUUAAGCUAUUAAAAUAUGGUUCAUAUUGCAGCUGGGUAAGUAAAACGCUCCCUGGGAGAAAAACUGCAAGAUGCCUGCUCUGUUUGGCCUGUUGCUGACCUGUCACCAGGUGAAUGCUGCUCAGCAACUCAGCACAGCACAACUGGGAACCAGCCCCAGCACUGGGUUUGGAGGAUGUGGGUAGUGAGGGAUUGUGGGGGGAGAUGGGUGGCACUGUGAUGGGCAAAAGGGACUCAUCAUAAGAAGAGAAGCUGGAGCUACUACAACAAGGAGAAAUACAGCAUUUUAAGAUUCAUAAGAUUAAAAGCCUCAAGAAUUCCUUUGUUGAAAGAAGUCAAUACUUUGUAACUUACAAGUGAUAUAUCAAAUUGAAGCCAUAGUGAUGUUUUAUAGUAAGCUAUCCACUACAGUUAAAUACAGCCUCCUGUGCUUCUGAACUCUGAACUCUGAUCUGACGCUUUGCUGGACUUUGUGGUCACACAGUUCUGCUUUUAAGAAGUUUGGGUUUGGCCUGGGGUGAGUAGACUCAUUCUAAAAUGUUUAGUACACUGUAUGGUAGUAACUUGUUGCUCUAAACCACUUAAUUCACAAUGAUAUUAUAUGCCUUUUCCUCUGUGGUAAAAAGGAUGUAGAACUAGAUGACUGAUGGAUCGUUGCUGGUGGUGAAAUGGUUGUUGUAGCAUUAGAUUGUGUGGUUUCAUUUUUGAAGUCUUUUUCUUUUAGAUUUGAGAGUUCUCUAGCCAACCUUCAGAAGAGUUAUGAGAAACCAGAAAAGUCCCUUUGGAGUCCUGCAAGGUUCAAGUCAGGCUGAAGGAUCUACUUCUUCUCAGGCAACAGGUUAUUUUUCAGGUAGGCAUGGUAGAUGAAGACCUGCCAAGAUGCUAAGGAUUUACCAUGACCUGAUGAAAAUCCUUGUCAAAGUCUAUUAUGAUGCUUUUCUGCUACAUCAUGCCAACACAUGUCACACCUAUUUACACUUGAACUUCUUGAGAAUUCUCCAUAUGGAAUCUUUUUUGGACAGUUGUCUGUGUAUAGAAACCAUCUCUGAAGAAUGACAAAAGGCUGAAAAACAAAAACCAGAAAGGAAACCAAACAUGAGCCUGUUAAGCAGGGAAAAGGAAAUUGAUGUUGCUUCGAAAAAUGAAAAAUAUUAGUGUUUUGUCCAUUACGGUGAUUCAGCUCCUUAAUCAGUUAUAUGGAGCUGUAUAGUUUUUAUGAAACUGGAGUUGACAUAAAAGAUUAAAGGUAUUUUUACCACUGAUUCUGUACCACACCCUCUGUCCAGGAAAUGAGGAAUGGCUCUCUGAUGCUC